rnacentral:misc_RNA from 1 species
UCUCCGUUGGUGAACCAGCGGAGGGAUCAUUACCGAGUUUACAACUCCCAAACCCCUGUGAACAUACCAUUUGUUGCCUCGGCGGUGCCUGCUUCGGCAGCCCGCCAGAGGACCCAAACCCUUGAUUUUAUGCAGUAUCUUCUGAGUAAAUGAUUAAAUAAAUCAAAACUUUCAACAACGGAUCUCUUGGUUCUGGCAUCGAUGAAGGACGCAGC